rnacentral:lncRNA from 1 species
AUGAUUCUGGACCAGCUUACCAAUGAAGAAAAUGUGAUCAUGGACCAGCUUGUAGAUGAAGAUGCCCUAGCCAUUCCUGAAGGUCCCAACACUUGUUCCAGAUCAAAGAAACUCAAUGAAGCUGAUGGAGGAAUACUCAAGAUGUCAAGGAAGCAAGAAGAUUGUCUUGGUUGCAGCUUGAUCAACCAAGACACACUCAUCACAAUUCAAGCUACUCCACCUUCAAGCUGAUCAUCAUCUAAGCAAGUAGCUUGUGUGUGCUCUUUUCCUAACCUUUGGUUUUGUCCCACUGGGUUUUCCAAAGGAAGGUUUUUAACGAGGCCACAAGUUUACUUUCACAUCUCCUAGAUGAUGAUCCCGGACCAACCACAUUAUCUAUCUUAUGUUAUUUUUAUCCUAUGUUUUAUGUUUUGAAUAAUUUCGAAAACUUGGUCUUUGUUUAGUUUCCAAGGGAGCCUGUUCCCUUUAUUUUUAUUUCUAUUUCGAGACCUUGUGCAUGUACAAGGGCCUCUCUUUAUAUUCUGGUCGUGACCCCCCUUUAUGAUUAAGCAAUCUUUUUAUCAAAAACCCUUUUCUCUCUUCUCUCUUGUCUUUGGCGAGUUGAAGUGUGUCUGGUGUGUAAUAUCCAGUCUGUUGGUGUGUAAUAUCCAACGCCCAAGGGCUUUAGAGAGGUGUGUCAUAUCCGAUCUAAGCCUAGGAGUAUCAAGAAGCCUUUCCGCAGCCUCUUGUGUCACCAUUCGAUCCACAUACCUUGAGAAGCUUGAGUCUUUUGAUUCGUUUCUGCAAGGAUUAUCCCAUCUGUUCCAGAGCAUCAUCCUAGGAUCUCAUUAAGUGGUAUCAGAGCAACUCUGGAAGGGAAGUGUGUUGAUUUCUAUCUGUUUUCGAUUUGAUCUCUUCAUAUUCUGUUGAGAUUUUGAUCGAUAUGUGUUUCUAUUGUUGAAAUCUGUUAGAUCUAAGUGUUUUUGAUCACGAAUCUGGUGAAGUCUCUUCAUAUACUCUUUGAUUUCGUGUUGAUCUGUGUUCCUUGUGAAGAAAUCUAUCGAAUUUGGGUUAAUUAGAUCUUGUUUUGGGUAUUAGACUGUUCGGAUCCUUGUUUAUCAAGUUAUCCGAUUGCUUAAUCUUAAUCUGUUUGUUGAUUGCAGUCGAUCUGUUCUUAUUGUUUUAGAUCUAUUCUUGCUUGAUCUAAAUCUCAUCAUCUGUUAUCAUAUCAUCUCUGAUCGUGUGUUGAUUGAUAUUUUGAAACCUGCUCCGUGUAGUGCAAGUUUGAUUGAUUUCGUUUUGAUAUUUUUGUUUUGAAAAAUCUGUGCUUGAAUCUGAAAUCGAAAUCUAUCUCUCCAUUUUUUGUGUUCUAGUUUCGAAAUCAAUCUGAUCUGAUAGGCUUAAGAUUUCAAUUAUGUUCUGAUUAGUUUUGAUCUCUUUAAAUCAUUGGUUGAGUUUGAAUUUGUUCUGAGAAUUGUCUAAAGUUUUAAGCUUCAAUUUGAAUCUCUGAUUUUUGCAAAUUGGUUGUUUGUUUUCUCUGUAGAACUAUUUACUGGCUUAGUCUUUCUCUUGUCUCAGGUACCAUGCCAGGAGAUCAAAAAGGAGAACUCAGCAAGAAAGAAAAGCUUUUUCUUGAAGAAUUCACAGCCAGUAUGGAUAAAGCCUGCAAAGAUCAAUUGAGAAAAUUCAGACAAGACAUACAGCAGCAAAGGAAAGGCAGAUCAUCCAGAGAUGAGUACAAGAAAAAGGAGUUUGAUCAGAUGGACAGAAACUGGAAGCAUGCUGGAUUGAAAUAUCAAAUUCCUUCUUUUCAUGGCAAGGCUGAUCCUGAAGCUUAUGUGAAGUGGGAAAAGAAGAUUGAGUUGAUUUUCAGUAGUCAAUACUAUGCUGAAAAAAAGAAGAUUCAAAUGGCUACUGCUGAGUUUUGUGGUCAUGCUUUAAGAUGGUGGAAUCAGUUGGUAAAGUGCAGAAGACUUGAUGGAAAAGAACCAGUGGAAACAUGGCUUAAGCUGAGGGCUUUGAUGCGUAGAGAGUACGUUCCAAGACAGUACCACAAGGAAGUUAUUCAAAAGCAGCCUGAGACAAAGCUAUGUUCUUCAUUAUCAGUUCAGAAACAACCAGACAGCAAGAGAUCAAGUCCAUAUAGUAACCUGGUUUCAUCAAGCAAAACAUCAACCCAUUCCUUUGAAGAUAGCAUAAGGAAGGCAAUUUCACAAGCGUUUAGGGAUGUGGAGAAACAAUUUAAACAGUCCAAGACUAUAUCUCCAUCCUUAGAAGUACAGAACCAAGCGCCUUCCUCAACUGUCUCAGAACUCAAAGAUGCAGAACCAGACUCAGUUUCACAAUCAGACUUGGCUGCACUAGUUCAAGAAGAUCAAACCGAGAUUCCAACAAUCACCAUUCAGAAAGAUGAUCAACCCAUCAAGGACGACCUGAUUCUCUUCAAACAUGAUGUAAUAGAAGAGGAGGCACCCAUGGCAUCAAAAUCAGACAGUGGAGUAGAGCAUCUAUUUGUCACUGAUUCAAACGGUUUCCAAAGGACAUUCUUGGGUACUUUUCUCAUCAGUCCUUUUGUGUGGAACAAGACCAGAGCAGUAGAGCUUUCAAGACACGAACUGGGCAUGGAACAUGUUGUAUUUGAGCCUGGAGGAGAGUUGUGGAAUCACAGGAACAAUCCCAUAGUGAUUGAGAAGAAAUCGGCAGCAACAACAAUUGUUUUUGGUGAUCUUUCACCCUCUGAAGCUAAAGGGAUGCACGUCUCAGCUCAGCAAGAGUUUCACUACGAAACCAAUUGGAGAAUGUUACCCACUCUUUCCUGGAUCCAACAAACAAGAAAACGCAGCAAAUGGCCUCCUGAUCAUCAAGAUAUUGUCAAUUCCGCAAGACAUAUCGGUUUAGCCAAAUUCUGUGAGCUGCUUAUAUCAGAUUGGGGUGGAAGGUUACGGUUCUACUUGUGGAAAACUGGAGCAUAUGCCAGCAUACUUAUCAUCCUUGGAGAGUGCUCUGCUCGUGGUAGAACCAGUUGGGGUAAUAAAGAGUUGGAAGCUGAUCAAAAUGCCUUGCUUCUUGAUCAUGUCAAGGUGUGGAAGCCACCAGAUUUGCAAAAGCUUCAAUACCAUUUCAGAGAUUGUCAAACCAAGAGUGGAGAUGGAGAUUUCACUAGAGUAAAUGGUGAAGUGAUUACUGGAAUAGGAGGAGAACUCAUGUUUUCUUCUCAAAUCAAAGAGAAACCACCAGAUGGACUCAGUCUACAUCAAUCUCCAAAUAAAUCAGCCCGAGGUAAUUAUCUAGAUUCAAAGAAACGCAUGAAACCUGAUUUGCUUUAUAUUGGUACAGGUCAAACAGUUUUGAGUGCUAUACUUUUCGAAAGGAGAGGCUAUAGUAAUAAUCAGAGUAUCAAGAAUGGAUCCUUGGCUAAGUUGGAGAUGCAACAAUCAAAUCUUGGAAGCUGUCUAGCCGCCAACUUUGACAUAGGAGCAGUCCGAGGAUCAUAUCUCAGCAACCACAAGGAAUUAAUCAACAAACUCGACUGCUAUGGAAACUUAAAUCAUCAGGGUCUCACGUCGAAUUGGAUUCAUGUCCAAAGCUUCUCAGGUGAAAGAGUUAUGGGUUCUACAAGUCAGGUGAUCUUCUGUGUGCUUUGUUUGAAUUUUUCUGAGUUCAGAAAAUCUCAAUCCUAUCUAUGGCGACCAGGUGAGCAUGCUAAGGUAAUUGAUCAUGUUUUCAAGAAUUAUUUUAGUAUUGAUUACACAGAUAUGAUGCACUUGUUUUUGUCAAAAGAGCCAUGUGCAGAUUAUAAGGAAGCUUGGAAGCAUACAAGGAGAAAGAACAAGCAUGAGGAAGAUAAGAGAUUUAAACCACCUGAUCUGGAUCAGCAUAACCAUGAAGACAUCUCUGGUUUUAUCCUCAUCAAAGAAGCUCCCCCAGAUGCAGCCUACAAUCCAAAACCGAGCAAAAACCGAUUUGGGAUAAGACUCUUACUCUUUGAUAAAUUUUCAUUUGCUAACUUGUUGUGUUUCAAUGAGUUUGAAUCAGGUUUUAGGUAUGCAUCAUGAGUAUGGAUAACCCAACAGAUCAGUCCCUUCUACAUUACAGAACCAAUCAGCAACAACGCCUAUCAAAGAGGCUUGCAAGGUGAGUAUAAUCUGAUUUUAAACUUUAAGGUUACUGACUUGGUCCCUCUUACUGCAGGUAAAACAGAUUUGAGGACAAAUCUUUUUCAAGAGGGAGGGAAUGAUAUGAUUCUGGACCAGCUUACCAAUGAAGAAAAUGUGAUCAUGGACCAGCUUGUAGAUGAAGAUGCCCUAGCCAUUCCUGAAGGUCCCAACACUUGUUCCAGAUCAAAGAAACUCAAUGAAGCUGAUGGAGGAAUACUCAAGAUGUCAAGGAAGCAAGAAGAUUGUCUUGGUUGCAGCUUGAUCAACCAAGACACACUCAUCACAAUUCAAGCUACUCCACCUUCAAGCUGAUCAUCAUCUAAGCAAGU